GUACGGAAGGCAGCAGUGAGGAAUAUUGCGCAAUGGCCGAAAGGCUGACGCAGCGACGCCGCGUGAAGGAUGAAGUCCGUUAGGACGUAAACUUCUUUUGCAGGGGAUGAAUGUACGCCUCAGGCGUAUUGACCGUACCCUGCGAAUAAGGAUCGGCUAACUACGUGCCAGCAGCCGCGGUAAUACGUAGGAUCCGAGCGUUGUCCGGAAUUACUGGGUGUAAAGGGCGUGUAGGUGGGUCUUUAAGUCGGUGGUGAAAUCCUGCAGCUUAACUGCAGAACUGCCAUUGAUACUGGAGAUCUUGAGUGCGGCAGAGGGAGAUGGAAUUCAUGGUGUAGCGGUGAAAUGUGUAGAUAUCAUGAAGAACACCGGUAGCGAAGGCGGUCUCCUGGUCCGCAACUGACACUGAGGCGCGAAAGCGUGGGGAGCAAACAGGAUUAGAAACCCCGGUAGUCC
rnacentral:rRNA from 1 species